rnacentral:rRNA from 1 species
UUUUGAUUCUAUAAUAAAAAGUAACUUCCUGCCCAAUGAAUAUUUUAUUUAAAUGGCCGCAGUUUUCUGUGCAAAGGUAGCAUAAUCAUUUGUUUCUUAAUUAGAGACUAGAAUGAAUGGAUAUACAAGAAAAAACUUUUUUUAUUUUUGAUCUAAAAAUUAAUCUAUGAAUGAAAAAUUUCAUAUAAUAUAAAAAGACCAAAAGACCCUAACGAGCUUAAAUAUUUAAUUCCUCUCAAGAAUAAAUAUUUUAAAUUGGGGCGAUUUAAGAUAAAUUUCAUCUUACUAAAUUCUAAAAUAUAAUUAUACCUUUUAUAUAUAAAAUUAAGUUACCGUAGGGAUAACAGGCUACUCAAUUUUAAAAGUUCACAUUUACAAAUUGUCUUAGCACCUCGAUGUUGGCUUAAGAUUACUCUAAAAUGCAGCAGUUUUAGAAAGUAGGCUUGUUCCGCCUUUAAUU